CCUACGGGAGACAGCAGUGAGGAAUAUUGGUCAAUGGGCGCGAGCCUGAACCAGCCAAGUAGCGUGCAGGAUGACUGCCCUACGGGUUGUAAACUUCUUUUAUAAAGGAAUAAAGUGAGUCACGUGUGCCUUUUUGUAUGUACUUUAUGAAUAAGGAUCGGCUAACUCCGUGCCAGCAGCCGCGGUAAUACGGAGGAUCCGAGCGUUAUCCGGAUUUAUUGGGUUUAAAGGGAGCGUAGACGGCUUGUUAAGUAAGUUGUGAAAGUUUGCGGCUCAACCCUAGAAUUGCAAGGGGUACUGGCAGGCUUGAGUACGCUGAAGGCAGGCGGAAUUCGUGGUGUAGCGGUGAAAUGCUUAGAUAUGACGAAGAACCCCGAUUGCGAAGGCAGCUUGCUAAAGCGGCACUGACACUGAUGCUCGAAAGUGCGGGUAUCAAACAGGAUUAGAUACCCUGGUAGUC
rnacentral:rRNA from 1 species